AGUGAACGCUGGCGGUAGGCCUAACACAUGCAAGUCGAACGGCAGCACAGUAAGAGCUUGCUCUUACGGGUGGCGAGUGGCGGACGGGUGAUGAAUACAUCGGAAUCUACUUUUUCGUGGGGGAUAACGUAGGGAAACUUACGCUAAUACCGCAUACGACCUACGGGUGAAAGCAUGGGAUCUUCGGACCUUGCGCGAUUGAAUGAGCCGAUGUCGGAUUAGCUAGUUGGCGGGGUAAAGGCCCACCAAGGCGACGAUCCGUAGCUGGUCUGAGAGGAUGAUCAGCCACACUGGAACUGAGACACGGUCCAGACUCCUACGGGAGGCAGCAGUGGGGAAUAUUGGACAAUGGGCGCAAGCCUGAUCCAGCCAUACCGCGUGGGUGAAGAAGGCCUUCGGGUUGUAAAGCACUUUUGUUGGGAAAGAAAAGCAGCAGGUUAAUACCCCGCUGUUCUGACGGUACCAAAAGAAUAAGCACCGGCUAACUUCGUG
rnacentral:rRNA from 1 species